rnacentral:lncRNA from 1 species
AGCUCAAUUUGAUUGAGCAUUAAAGUUUAGAUCAAGUUUGAUUGAAUUGAAUUUAAUUAGGUCAGGUCUAAUUAGGUUAUGAGAUGACCUAAUCGGUGAGGAAGAAAUGAUCCUGAUUUGAUUGGAUCUAUUGCUCAAUUAAUUUAUUAAUUUGAUUAAAUUUAAUUGAGAUUAUAAGAGCCUAAUUAGAUUAGAUUCAUCAAAUUUUAUUUGAAUCUAAUUGGAUUGGGUUUGAAAGAAAUCUAAUUGGUUAAACCCU